rnacentral:lncRNA from 1 species
CUGAAGUCUCAAAACAGUUGAAAUAUAAUAAUUUGUAUGGCCAGGAAAAACGGUCCUAUUCUUAAGUCUUAGAGACAGGAAGGAGUAUAAAUAAAAUAUACGUACCGUGCUUGAGGCAUGUUUCCUUGUUUGGCGUGGAAGGUUUGUAAAUAAUAAAUAAAUAAAUAAAUAAAUAAAUAAUAAUUUUUAUUACAGGAAGCUCUCUCACCUACCGGUUAUGGGUCAAUUUAUGGACGUUUAGAUGGUUUCAGUUAGCUUCACUAUUUUGUCCUCUGGAUAUCCUUUCCAAAGUUUGGGUACUGAGUGAUCCCAGCCUAACGAGUCCACUGAAGGGAAAGGUCUCCAAAUGCUCUAAUCGCCUCGAAAUUCCACAUACAUCACGGAAGAUAGUCUUCCUUCACGUUCCUAUUCUUCAUCCGUUCAUCCGCGGUCGGUUUAGUUACACUGACAUGGAAUAGAAAGCUGCCAUCUUCGGGAAAGGCUUUUCACUGAGAGCCGUCCGAUGUGAAGCCUUAACUGUCAAUCAUCUCCCACCUUCCGCCUAAUCCUUAGACAGGGUAUAAUUUAUAUUAACUAAAAUUCCAGUGCGUAAAUUUCCAGCGAAACGAAAAACAAAUUAUCUGCUUGAUACUUAACUUCCAAUGUUACCAAAACAAAAUAAAGUUGACCUGUUCAGGCCAUUCUUAGUUUUUGUUUUUUUGUUUGAACAGGGUGCCAUGUUUUGGGUUUGCAUUUCCUCUUGGUUUGGGCCUUAAAUAGGGUAUCAAUUUUCAAUUGGAUCGUCUUCAAAUAGGGUCGGGGUUUAGUCAACCUCGUUCUUAGGGCUUUGGGUUGAGGUUCAGUAAAACUUUUCGCGGCACCUACUCCAAAUAUACGGAAGUACCCUCCUCCCUCGCCCAUUGUUAUUGCGUUGUUGUAUAGUAACGGCUGCUUGUCAAUCGCAUCAGCUAAACACGUAGUGAAAUUUCCAAAUAAAGAAAACACUCAAUGAAAAGUGAUGUUACAGCGCGGUGAACUCACGCCUUCAUGUUUUUUCCAAGAAAGUUCUAGAAAGGUUGGUCUUUCAAUAUAGAUUAUGCUUUUGCCACGUCAAUACAGAGCUAAAUCACAACUUGUAACUAGUUUUACUAACGAACCUAAAAUAUUGACUACAGGUACUUUCUUAAACAUUACAUCAACAACGGUUCAAUCGCUAAACGGCCGAUAUUUAAUCAGUAAAUUUAAAUCCUUGUCUAGCACUCGCCAGCUCUUCAGCCAGGAGGCGGGUUACCAGUCAAGAUUUGCACAUGGUGAAGGAGACCAGUAUUAGAGCCUGAACGAAGUCAGUGCUCUGGAAAAACUAUGGUACAUGCAUUACAGGAUAGCAGACCUGUCCACGAAAAUGAACUUCAACCUGGAGACAAGGCAUCUUGUAACAUCUGUGGAGGUAGCGUGGCCGAGUGGUUAGGGCGCCGGACUUGAAAUCCGGAGGUCGCGGGCUCAAGUCUCGCUCUGACCACUAUUAAAGCUGGAGUUGCUUUCCGACAGACCCUAGUUCAACUCCUCUGUUAUGCUUGUAAAUAGCCAAAUGGAGUGCCUCCCACCUGUUGGGAUUUUUAAGCCUGUUAUGGUUAAGCUAAAAUGCAUAAGAUCAUUUACCGGCCCAAAUGUUGCUCGUUAGAGACUUAAGUCAGUUGAACAGAUUUAUGGAUAAAAAAGAAAGUUUUGGAAAAAAAUGUGCUUUUCCUUAAGUGGCAUGCCUGAGAACUGUAGGUAGUUGUAGCUAAGCGCAUCGAGCACUACAAACAUUCAACAUCUUUUUUUAAUAUUUUUAACAGCAAGAAUAGUAAAUUUUGAUACAAAGAAUGCAAAUGUAUAAACUAAUUAACAUACAUUCCGAUAACUAUUGCUAUUUAUACUUAAUGUUUGAUACAUGUACUGUAGUUUGGAAUGAGAAUGCUGUUGAAGAAAGAGUAGAGCUUCAAAAACUAUUCGUGACAGCCUAGAUGUGUAAUUACUACAUUAGCCCUUACAGCCAGGUAAAAAAA